rnacentral:rRNA from 1 species
UGGGGAAUAUUGCACAAUGGGGGAAACCCUGAUGCAGCGACGCCGCGUGAACGAAGAAGGUAUUCGUAUCGUAAAGUUCUGUCCUAUGGGAAGAUAAUGACAGUACCAUAGAAGAAAGCUCCGGCUAAAUACGUGCCAGCAGCCGCGGUAAUACGUAUGGAGCGAGCGUUGUCCGGAAUUAUUGGGCGAAAGGGUACGCAGGCGGUUUAAUAAGUCGAAUGUUAAAGAUCGGGGCUCAACCCCGUAAAGCAUUGGAAACUGAUAAACUUGAGUAGUGGAGAGGAAAGUGGAAUUCCUAGUGUAGUGGUGAAAUACGUAGAUAUUAGGAGGAAUACCAGUAGCGAAGGCGACUUUCUGGACACAAACUGACGCUGAGGUACGAAAGCGUGGGGAGCAAACAGG